rnacentral:rRNA from 1 species
CGGGUGAGUAACGCGUGGGUAACCUGCCUCAUACAGGGGGAUAACAGUUAGAAAUGACUGCUAAUACCGCAUAAGCGCACAGGAUCGCAUGAUUCGGUGUGAAAAACUCCGGUGGUAUGAGAUGGACCCGCGUCUGAUUAGCUAGUUGGUGGGGUAAAGGCCUACCAAGGCGACGAUCAGUAGCCGACCUGAGAGGGUGAUCGGCCACAUUGGGACUGAGACACGGCCCAAACUCCUACGGGAGGCAGCAG